rnacentral:tRNA from 1 species
GGGGAUUUAGAUCAGUGGCAUAAGCACCUGCCUUGCAAGCAGGCAGUUGUGAGUUCAAUCCCCA